GCCUCCAUAGAACAAAUUUAAAACACAACUGGCAUGGUAAUGUACGGAGAGCUUCAGUGGCACCUUACCACCCACCCUCCGAGACCUGUCCUAAGAUUUAAGACAGUCUCAGAAAGCUGCACUGCCCCCAGCACAGCUUUCAUUCAAAUCAGCUUUUCCAAGGCCACUUUCGUCCUGAAGUCAAUGCAUGUAUUUACUGUUUGACAGUAAACCCGCUCUGCCUUCUCCACGUCCAAGGCUGUGCAUUCGUCUAAUUAGUGUCGUGUAUGUUUUCCUUUUAUUUUUUCCAAUAAAAAAGCAGUGGGAUGAAAAUUGCUUUGAUAUAUAGCAGGUAACAUUGAAGCUAUUCCAUAGCACUUAACUGUAGUGAAUACUGUGUCACCAAUCCUGAAAUCAAUUUAAUGUUUAAUGCAAAUCCAUUACAUGGUGCUAUUACAGGCUGACAAAAUGAUUUACACAAAUGUGACAACUUGGGCUCAAUUCACUCUGCUUUCCAACAGUGUAAAUGCAUAGCAGUGUUUAUCUGCAUGAGAACUAUGCACUAACCUAUCUGAAGAAAAAAACUAUAUCAACUUUGGUAUCUACUUUCCGUUUACUUCAAUCCUUGCCUUUUUGGUCAUUGUUAUAAUGCCAGCUUUAGGACAGAAAGAAUUAUAAGAAAACCAGCAUAAUACCUGAUAUAUUAAAAUGUAGUGCCUGUGAAAUCUGUAUUAUAUUGCUCUUCUGAAGUAAGAUUUUUCUACACCGGUAGCCUUCGCUGUCUGUCAGUCAGGACCUUCUGGUAUAGGUGAUGUAAAAUAACCGUACAAUAUUAAUGCAUGCUAUUCCAUAAUGCUUAGUGAACUGUAUGAAUAUUACUCAAGAUUAUGUUAGUCUUUUUUUCUGACUUGGUUCUUGUCAGCUAGGUUUAAAGGUAUUUCACUGAGAACGCAAAUUCUGUCUUUUCUUGAUUUCGGCAGUUUUCAGUAUUUUGGAGGUAUACAUUUACUUAAAUUCAGUAUUACUUGUGUUUUUGUUUUCGUUUUUGUUUUUUGUUUUCUUUUUCCUAGGGGACAAGCAUGGGUGUUUGAUUUCAGAAAUCAGUCCCUGGCAAGACUUUUGUCUCAAAACAACCAUUUGAAUUUCAAGAACUCUGCUCUGAAGACACUGAGGAUAUUUCAAAAUGAGGGACAUUUCCCUUCACCCUCGACUGAAGCUUUGCCGAUACUGAAGCAUUUUCUUAAUGGACAAUGUUCAGCCAGGUACCCAUGCUUGAUCCGUCUUCACACCAGACUUCCUCGUAUUAAGAGAAAAAAAAAAGAAAAAAAAAAUCUUUACAGAAUCACAUGGCUAUUUAGUUUCAUGCACAGUUGCAAUAUUUUCUUCAAAAAUAAAACGCUGUACAAACUUUGGGCCCGAUUCAUAAGAAAAAGAAAUUGGCUAUUAACACGGGAUUUUUUUUGAUAAGAGAUCUGUUGUGAAACUGAACACCCCCCGUGUUAAUCAGUUAGUUUGACAUUUGUUUUUUAUGAGCCGGGCCCCCUGUGCCUCUAGUAUACUUGUAUUGACCCUCAUAGUUACCCUUUUAGUUUGACUGUGUUCUGUGAAAAUUUGUAAUUGGUUGAGAAUCACUGUGGGCGUCCAUUCUUAUUCAACUAAAUCUCCACAGGUUUUUUGAGCUGGUGUGGAUUAGUUUAACUCUUGUAUUCAACCAUUAGUGCUACCACCGUCUCACAUUACAAUACAAUUACUGGAAGCAAGUACUGCAUUUCCUAUGCAACAAAAAAGGAAAAUAAAAAAUUGCUAAUGCUAUGGAAGCUGCGUCAUCAUUUGCUUUAAAUCGCACCUGGAAGGUGACGUUUGAGUGAUAGUUAUGGGUGUUAUGGGUGUUUCCCCU
ensembl:lncRNA